rnacentral:rRNA from 1 species
AUUGAACGCUGGCGGCAGGCCUAACACAUGCAAGUCGAGCGGAUGAAGGGAGCUUGCUCCUGGAUUCAGCGGCGGACGGGUGAGUAAUGCCUAGGAAUCUGCCUGGUAGUGGGGGAUAACGUCCGGAAACGGGCGCUAAUACCGCAUACGUCCUGAGGGAGAAAGUGGGGGAUCUUCGGACCUCACGCUAUCAGAUGAGCCUAGGUCGGAUUAGCUAGUUGGUGGGGUAAAGGCCUACCAAGGCGACGAUCCGUAACUGGUCUGAGAGGAUGAUUAGUCACACUGGAACUGAGACACGGUCCAGACUCCUACGGGAGGCAGCAGUGGGGAAUAUUGGACAAUGGGCGAAAGCCUGAUCCAGCCAUGCCGCGUGUGUGAAGAAGGUCUUCGGAUUGUAAAGCACUUUAAGUUGGGAGGAAGGGCAGUAAGUUAAUACCUUGCUGUUUUGACGUUACCAACAGAAUAAGCACCGGCUAACUUCGU